rnacentral:rRNA from 1 species
AUGGACAAUACAAAGGGCAGCGAAACCGCGAGGUCAAGCAAAUCCCAUAAAGUUGUUCUCAGUUCGGAUUGUAGUCUGCAACUCGACUAUAUGAAGCUGGAAUCGCUAGUAAUCGUAGAUCAGCAUGCUACGGUGAAUACGUUCCCGGGUCUUGUACACACCGCCCGUCACACCACGAGAGUUUGUAACACCCGAAGCCGGUGGAGUAACCAUUUGGAGCUAGCCGUCGAAGGUGGGACAAAUGAUUGGGGUGAAGUCGUAACAAGGUAGCCGUAUCGGAAGGUGCGGCUGGAUCACCUCCUUUCUAAGGA